UAUCCCCUGCGGUGUUUGUAAGCGAAUCGGGUAUUUUCUUGAGCCUAUUCAUUACCCCGGGGACUUAAUGGGAAUGACAUUGUGCAUGUCCGCUUCUUGCGGAAAGCCUUAAUCUUCCUUGUUGUCCCCACUUGAACCUACCGGUUCAAGAACGAUGAUUUGCUACGGCACAGGUGGGGGAUAC
rnacentral:other from 1 species